rnacentral:rRNA from 1 species
AUGCGGCGACGGCGGGCGGGCGCGGCGCGGAGGCCGGGCAGCCGGGUGCGGCCGGCGCGAGGCGCUGCCGGGGCAGCCGGACGGCGGGCAGGCCGUGUCCUGGGGUGCGGCGCAGCGCACGGCCGGGCAGCCUUGACGCGGGCAGGAGGGCGCGCGGCCGGGCGCAGCGUGACCGCCGAACGAAGCGCGGAGCAAAGGCUCCGUCAACACGCGCGCGCAUGGUGUGCCGUGUGCGGGAUCCCGCUGUCAAGCAAGGGCUCGGAUCAUGGACUAUCCAUGUUCAUGGAUUUCCUUUGUACAGAAACCAUCGGCGGCGCGGCGCUGGAGCUGGCCGGCCGCGCGCUCCCGCCGGCGUGCCCCGCCGAGGUCACCCUCCUGCUUGUGCGCGGCGCCGACGGCAACGACGAUGCGCCAGCUUACGCGAGUGCGGACCGCGUCUCGGCCGCCGAGGGCGCGCGGUUCGAGGUGUACGCCGGGGAGGAGGGGCUCGCGGCGGAGGGCGCCUUCGCGCGGCGCAAUGGCGGGUGGCGCGUCGAGUUCCGCCGGCCGGCCACGUCGCGCUCGCGCGUCGCGGAGGUGCUGGUCCUCGCGGAGGGAGGCGUGCUCAUAAGAGCCAGGGCCAGGGCGUCGGCGGCGGGGAGGAUGGGGUGCGCCACGCGGCUGGAGGGGAUACCGGAGGAGGAGGAGGCGGGGCCGUGCGAGUGCGGGGCGUGCGGAGACGAGUGGGAGAUGGUCGGCCACACCGACGACGAGUUCAAGGAGCACGCGGAGGAGGUGGAGGCGGAAACGAUGCGGUGGGCGCUGGAGAUGGGCGCCUGGGCGGUGUGCGUCAGGGUCGGGCUGCUCGCCACCGCCCGCCGGUUCAGCCGGAGGCGGCCCGCGCUCCGGUGA